CAAACACAUCAUUACAGUAAAUAAAACUAAUUCUAUUAAAAUAAACAAUGUAUUCACUCACAGCAGUCACGACAUUCUCCAAAUGGGUUGCAAGCGCCUCGUUUUUCAAGGUUUCCUUGGCCUUCUGCUCGCUCAAACCAAUACUUUGAAAGAGAUCUAGUCUUGUAGACAUCGUGCGUACUGCUAGUUUGUAAAAAUCGAGCGAUCUUGGGGAGAAAUUUCGCCAAACUUUUAACAUGAAAGCAACGAGCAAAGAUGUUCUAAACCUCCAUUGUCACACC